rnacentral:rRNA from 1 species
CCUACGGGUGGCAGCAGUGGGGGAUAUUGCACAAUGGGGGGAACCCUGAUGCAGCGACGCCGCGUGUGGGAAGACGGUCCUCUGGAUUGUAAACCACUUUCCCCAGGGACGAAAAUGACGGUACCUGGGGAGGAAGCUCCGGCUAACUACGUGCCAGCAGCCGCGGUAAUACGUAGGGAGCGAGCGUUGUCCGGAAUUACUGGGUGUAAAGGGUGCGUAGGCGGGGAUGCAAGUUGGGGGUCAAAACUACCGGCUCAACUGGUAGUCGCAGUCAAACCUGCAGCUCUUGAGUGAAGUAGAGGCAGGCGGAAUUCGUAGUGUAGCGGUGAAAUGCGUAGAUAUUAGGAGGAACACCAGUGGCGAAGGCGGCCUGCUGGGCUUUUACUGACGCUGAGGCUCGAAAGUGUGGGGAGCAAACAGGAUUAGAUACCCCAGUAGUC